rnacentral:rRNA from 1 species
UGGGGAAUUUUGGACAAUGGGGGCAACCCUGAUCCAGCAAUGCCGCGUGAGUGAAGAAGGCCUUCGGGUUGUAAAGCUCUUUUGUCAGGGAAGAAACGGUAGUAGCGAAUAACUAUUACUAAUGACGGUACCUGAAGAAUAAGCACCGGCUAACUACGUGCCAGCAGCCGCGGUAAUACGUAGGGUGCAAGCGUUAAUCGGAAUUACUGGGCGUAAAGCGUGCGCAGGCGGUUGUGUAAGUCAGAUGUGAAAUCCCCGGGCUCAACCUGGGAAUUGCAUUUGAGACUGCACGGCUAGAGUGUGUCAGAGGGGGGUAGAAUUCCACGUGUAGCAGUGAAAUGCGUAGAUAUGUGGAGGAAUACCGAUGGCGAAGGCAGCCCCCUGGGAUAACACUGACGCUCAUGCACGAAAGCGUGGGGAGCAAACAGGAUUAGAUACCCACGUAGUCCCUGAGCGGGCUGGCAAGGCGCAU